rnacentral:rRNA from 1 species
UACGUAGGGUCCGAGCGUUGUCCGGAGUUACUGGGCGUAAAGCGCGCGCAGGCGGCGGUGUUGGCCCGGCGUGAAAGCCCCCGGCUCAACCGGGGAGAGUCGUCGGGGACCGCACCGCUUGAGGGCGGUAGGGGCUGGUGGAAUGCCUGGUGUAGUGGUGAAAUGCGUAGAUAUUAGGAAGAACACCGGUGGCGAAGGCGGCCCACUGGUCCGGUACUGACGCUGAGGUGCGAAAGCGUGGGGAGCAAACAGG